CGGCAAACUCCGUGCCAGCAGCCGCGGUAAUACGGAGGGGGCAAGCGUUGUUCGGAAUUAUUGGGCGUAAAGGGCAUGUAGGCGGUUCGGUAAGUUAAAGGUGAAAUGCCAGGGCUUAACCCUGGAGCUGCUUUUAAUACUGCCAGACUAGAGUCCGGGGAGAGGAUAGCGGAAUUCCUAGUGUAGAGGUGAAAUUCGUAGAUAUUAGGAGGAACACCAGUGGCGAAGGCGGCUAUCUGGGUCCAGGUACUGACGCUGAGGUGCGAAAGCGUGGGGAGCAAA
rnacentral:rRNA from 1 species